AAUGAACGCUGGCGGCAUGCCUAAUACAUGCAAGUCGAACGGUAGCACCGGACCAAUCCUGUUGGCGAGUGGCGAACGGGCGAGGAAGGAAUCGGAACGUACCCAGCCGUGGGGUAUAAGAUAGCGAAGGUUAAGCUAAGAACACAUACGAUCUAACGGUGAAAGUGGGGGAUCGCAAGACCCAGCGCGAUUAGAGCGCACGGUAUCAGAUUAGGUAGUUGGUGGGGUAAAGGCUCACCAAGCCGACGAUCUGUAGCUGUUCUGAGAGGACGACCAGCCACACUGGGACUGAGACACGGCCCAGACUCCUACGGGAGGCAGCAGUGGGGAAUUUUGGACAAUGGGCGAAAGCCUGAUCCAGCAAUGCCGCGUGCAGGAUGAAGGCUUUCGGGUUGUAAACUGCUUUUGUACGGAACGAAAAGGCUUGGUCUAAUAAGCUGGGCUCAUGACGGUACCUUAAGAGUAAGCACCGGCUAACUACGUGCCAGCCGCCGCAGUAA
rnacentral:rRNA from 1 species